rnacentral:rRNA from 1 species
CCUACGGGUGGCAGCAGUGAGGAAUAUUGGUCAAUGGACGAGAGUCUGAACCAGCCAAGUAGCGUGAAGGAUGACUGCCCUAUGGGUUGUAAACUUCUUUUAUAUGGGAAUAAAAUGUUCCACGUGUGGGAUUUUGUAUGUACCAUAUGAAUAAGGAUCGGCUAACUCCGUGCCAGCAGCCGCGGUAAUACGGAGGAUCCGAGCGUUAUCCGGAUUUAUUGGGUUUAAAGGGAGCGUAGGUGGAUUGUUAAGUCAGGUGUGAAAGUUUGCGGCUCAACCGUAAAAUUGCAGUUGAAACUGGCAGUCUUGAGUACAGUAGAGGUGGGCGGAAUUCGUGGUGUAGCGGUGAAAUGCUUAGAUAUCACGAAGAACUCCGAUGGCGAAGGCAGUUCACUGGACUGCAACUGACACUGAGGCUCGAAAGUGUGGGUAUCAAACAGGAUUAGAUACCCGAGUAGUC